UUCUUAAACAAAGAGAUUCCAGAAAACAUGAUUGUGAGGAUUUCACAUGGCUACAUAUAGUUCCCAAUUCUCAAAGGCUGUGGCUCAUGAAAACAUGACUGCGAGGCAACGACAAUUAAGAAAAAGGAAUUUAGGAAGACUGGUGGAGAUGAGGAACGAAUGGCAGCCAUUGCAGCUUACAUGAAGCUUAAUUGGCAGGGCCUUCAGAAGAAGGUUGUCUUUGUUACUGUUAUUACAGAUCUCAACACCUUCCAUCGCACAUGGUUCAACACUGGUGUCAACCAAUGCUACUGCCCUUCGGACGAGGUUUCCAAGAGGGCGUUGGUUGAUGGCCUAGAGUCUUCCCAGAUUCGCGUGUUUGGUUUGCCCGUCAGGCCCUCGUUUUUUCGGCUGUAAAGAAAACUGCAAGAGCUCUCGGAGAAGCACUAUUCAGUGCAGAACUUGGUAAACCAAUUGGACAGAUCACCAUGGAAAGUCCAGUAAAGGUAAUAGGUAAUUCACUUGUUCUGUAUAUCUAACUAUGUAGUCAAGUGGGAUUGUUUUU